ACAUUUUUGUAUUUAAUACGAAUAUAAAAAUACAACGUUAAAAGAGAGUUAAACAUGAACCAGUCACGGAUGUUUUUUUUAUUAAGCUGUUAAUUUCGAAAUCGUAACAGUAAAAUCAAUAUUUCGGUUUCAGAUUGAGGUGUGAAGUCCAGCAGAAGGUUAACAUUAUUUCAGCGGCCAGCUUGAGGGUACUAGGCGUAGUAGAAGGUUAACAUUAAAGUGUUAUUUCAGCGGCCAGCUUGAGGGUACUAGGCGUAGUAGAAGGUGAACUUAAUGGUUUCACACAUGCUAUUAAUUAAAGUUUUUUUUAUUCAACAUGAGAAUACCAAGUAACUCAUUAGAUCUAAAUAUAUCGAACAACCAGUAUAGACGGAUUAAUGAAUCUCCUAAGUCACCAUGCAGCGUCUGUAAGGUAUCGAACCACCAUUAAAGACAGAUUAGUGAAUCUUCUAAGUCACAGUUCGGGGUCUGUAAGGUAUCGAACCACGAGAAAAUGUGGAUUAGUGAAUCUUCUUAGUCACAGUUCAUGGUCUGUAAGGUAUCGAACCACCAUUAAAGACGGAUUAGUGAAUCUUCUAAGUCACAGUUCAGGGUCUGUAAGGUAUCGAACCACGAGAAAAUGUGGAUUAGUGAAUCUUCUAAGUCACAGUUCAUGGUCUGUAAAGGCAUAUUUGUGGUACUCCACACUGUGCUAAUGUUUAGUUGGAUUUAAUAGACUGUGAAGGUGAGGCAUGUUUGUGGUACUGCACACUGUGCUAAUGUUUAGUUGGAUUUAAUAGACUGUGAAGGUGAGGCAUGUUUGUGGUACUGCACACUGUACUAAUGUGUCAUUACAUUACACGUGUUAUUAAGUAUUAAUUUGGAAUCACCACAAGUUUCCUUUACGUGUAUUGUUAUUAAGUAAUUGAUUAGGACUGUAAUUGUUACGUGAGUUAAGUGUAAAUACUUUAAAUGUAAAUAUAUAUAUAUAUAUUUAUUUGUGAUCUGUCUUCUAAAUCUAGGACAGGCGUAUGAAAGUCUCCAAGUCGAUGACGCCUGUUAUUCAUUAAAUAAAAAGGUCUUCUAUAAAGUUACGAACUCAAACGGAUGUUACAACCGAUGACAUGAGUUUAUGCAACUAAUGUAUGAUUACGAGGUUUCACUAGCCUAAUUCUCCCAUUUUUGUGGCUAAUUGGAACUUGAGGUUCUCGUGUAAGGGGGUAUUGAUUACUUAUCAUCUCCUAAUUAGGCUAAGGACCUCGUUUUUUCGGUCGUGGUUUGUAAACUAUAUUGCUUACGUGAAUUAUUACAGUCGAACGAGGUCCUUAGAUAAUUUCUUGUUUUUUUUUUUAUUAACUCUUCCGAUCUUUCAGUUCCUAUCAAUGAUGAAUCUCAAUCGUAAUUAUUCGUUCCCAUUUUGUAAAAAAAAAGCGUCUAUUACAACUCCGUAUAGUUUUUUUUAACCACAAAAUAUUCCCCGCACUUUAGCCGUGGUUGCGUUAUAAGUGUGACAGUUAAUCCCUUAGCGUGGUCGUGGAAGGUAAGUAUUAUAUUACUACUGACUAGUUGUUUACUUCUGGUAAGUUCCAAAUUAUGGCACAUAUAAUAUUUACAUAUUUGCCGUAAAUAUAAAAUACAAAACUCUUCUGAAUAACUUUUGAUCAAAUUAUUACGAGUUAAUGUAACUAAUGGAAACCGAAAUGUAAUCAGACCAAAGUUUUUAAAUUUAGUAUCGUCACACACCAGUGACGUUUUUACACGAUAGAAGAUUUUUAUAUAUUACACGUUUUCUUGAAUUCUUAAAACGACUUCAUAUUUUACACGAGUUGAUGUGCCGGGCUGCCUAUCGUAAGGUACGAAGUUCGAAAACCCAGCUUGGGUGACUAGCCGGCUUCUGUUAUCGCGACCAGCUGACAUCAAGAAAUCGAACUUUGCUUUAAAAACGAAAUUGACGUAGAUUUGAUUGUAGCCCGGGAUUCUCCAUCAUCUCGACUGUUUGGAUUUGACUGUAGCCCGGGAUUCUCCAUCAUCUCGACUGUUUGGAUUUGACUGUAGCCCGGGAUUCUCCAUUAUCUCGGCUGUUUGGAUUUGACUGUAGCCCGGGAUUCUCCAUUAUCUCGGCUGUUUGGAUUUGACUGUAGCCCGGGAUUCUCUAUUAUCUCGGCUGUUUGGAUUUGACUGUAGCCCGGGAUUCUCCAUUAACUCGGCUGUUUGGAUUUGACUGUAGCCCGGGAUUCUCCAUUAUCUCGGCUGUUUGGAUUUGACUGUAGCCCGGGAUUCUCCAUUAACUCGGCUGUUUGGAUUUGACUGUAGCCCUGGAUUCUCCACUAUCUCGGCUGUUUUGUAAGAAUCUAGAAAGUGAAAAUACUCGUUCUUGCAGAUCGUUUGACACUUAAGUUAUGCCAAUAGGUUUUAUUAAGUUGCUGGAGAGCUAAAAACAAACUUCAAUUGGCAACUGUAAUCACAAAUGCUUGUGGUUAAUUCAAUACUAAAAGCGAUGGAAAAACAUUGGCUGAAUUCCGUUUCCACAGUCUACUGUUAACUGAAACUAAGGUGAUUAUAUAUUAUACUUAUAGGAUCAGAAUUUAUUUUCAGGUAUACACUACUAAUUAUUACGCUGCUUCAAGCUUCGAGGUCUGCAUAGCUAAUUAAGUAAAUAUUACGAGUAACUCUCUACACGGCCACUGCUGGAAAGGUGUAGCAGCCAAAAACCACACUACACACAAUAAUGUUAAGACGAUCGGUAGGCCUGAGAAGUUCGUAAUGAUGACAAGCGUGGAAUGAAAAUUAGGGUUCGAACGGCUGAUGUAAUAUCUUAGUUGAGCUGUAGUGAAUGCCAAUAACCAAAGUAUCUAGCCAGUCAGCCUGACAAGGACCCCGCACAUACAGCCACUAGAUGGAAUAGAUAUGACGUCAAUUAUAUGUCGUAGGUUGUUGGGUUUUGGGCGAGCUGUGGCCACUAUUUCUUUACCACAAAAUAUUUAUACCAUAUUUGGUGGCGUAAGAAAUAUAGACUGAUUAGAACUCAAGCAAAAAAAAAGUGUUGUGCAUUCUGAAGUGAAUGUGAGAAUCGCUCGUUAUUAAACUUUAGCUUUUGUGUUAGUUUUAUAAAACAUGUAACAAAUAAAAACAUUUCCUGCUCUGGCAAACAGUAUGGAACCAAAGUAUGUAUCUAUACGGACGAAUACGACAAAGGUUAUAUCCCAACAAUGGUUACCUGAAUACGACAAAGUUUGUAUCCCAACAAUGGUUACCUGAAUACGACAAAAGUUUGUAUCCCAACAAUGGUUACCUGAAUACGACAAAAGUUUGUAUCCCAACAAUGGUUACCUGAAUACGACAAAGGUUAUAUCCCAACAAUGGUUACCUGAAUACGACAAAAGUUAUAUCCCAACAAUGGUUACCUGAAUACGACAAAGUUUGUAUCCCAACAAUGGUUACCUGAAUACGACAAAGUUUGUAUCCCAAGAAUGGUUACCUGAAUACGACAAAGUUUGUAUCCCAACAAUGGUUACCUGAAUACGACAAAGUUCAUAUCCCAACAAUGGUUACCUGAAUACGACAAAGUUCAUAUCCCAACAAUGGUUACUUGAAUACGAGAAGGGUUAUAUCCCAACAAUGGUUACCUAAGUAUGACAAAGUUCAUAUCCCAACAAUGGUUACCUUAAUACGACAAAUACUGCCGAGAAUCAUACCGGAGAGGAUUAUGGGUAUUUGAUGUGCUGACAAAAUGAUCACAUAAUAUAAUAGUUUACAGCAUUAACUAUUUAUGUACAAAUUGAUGUAAAUAAACUGGUAUAUUUAGUUUUCAUUGUUUC
rnacentral:lncRNA from 1 species